GACGAACGCUGGCGGCGUGCUUAACACAUGCAAGUCGAACGGAAAGGCCCUGCUUGCAGGGUGCUCGAGUGGCGAACGGGUGAGUAACACGUGGGUGAUCUGCCCCUUACUUUGGGAUAAGCCUGGGAAACUGGGUCUAAUACUGGAUAGGACCAUGCUGUAGGUGGUGUGGUGGAAAGAUUAGUUUCGGUAAGGGAUGAGCUCGCGGCCUAUCAGCUUGUUGGUGGGGUAAUGGCCUACCAAGGCGUCGACGGGUAGCCGGCCUGAGAGGGUGGACGGCCACAUUGGGACUGAGAUACGGCCCAGACUCCUACGGGAGGCAGCAGUGGGGGAAUAUUGCACAAUGGGCGCCAGCUUGAUGCANCGACGCCCCGUGGGGGAUGACCGCCUUCNGGUUGUAAACUCCUUUCAGCCUGACAAACCCCUGUGGUGGACGGAGUGUAAAAAAACCACCGGCUAACUACGUGCCAACACCCCGGUAAUACUUAGGGGCGAACGUUUCCGGAAUUAUGGGGGUAAAAAACUCCUAAGGGGUCUUCCCCUCUUUUUAAAAUCCGGGGUUUAUUCCGGGUUGGCAGGUGAUACGGGCAUGACUGGAGUACUGUAGGGGAGACUGGAAUUCCUGGUGUAGCGGUGAAAUGCGCAGAUAUCAGGAGGAACACCGGUGGCGAAGGCGGGUCUCUGGGCAGUAACUGACGCUGAGGAGCGAAAGCAUGGGUAGCGAACAGGAUUAGAUACCCUGGUAGUCCAUGCCGUAAACGGUGGGCGCUAGGUGUGGGUUUCCUUCCACGGGAUCCGUGCCGUAGCUAACGCAUUAAGCGCCCCGCCUGGGGAGUACGGCCGCAAGGCUAAAACUCAAAGGAAUUGACGGGGGCCCGCACAAGCGGCGGAGCAUGUGGAUUAAUUCGAUGCAACGCGAAGAACCUUACCUGGGCUUGACAUGCACUGGAUGCGGCCAGAGAUGGUUGUUCCCUUUGUGGCUGGUGUGCAGGUGGUGCAUGGUUGUCGUCAGCUCGUGUCGUGAGAUGUUGGGUUAAGUCCCGCAACGAGCGCAGCCCUUGUCUCGUGUUGCCAGCAUUUGGUUGGGGACUCGCGGGAGACUGCCGGGGUUAACUCGGAGGAAGGUGGGGAUGACGUCAAAUCAUCAUGCCCCUUAUGUCCAGGGCUUCACACAUGCUACAAUGGCUGGUACAGAGAGUUGCGAUACCGUGAGGUGGGGCUAAUCUCGUAAAGCCAGUCUCAGUUCGGAUUGGAGUCUGCAACUCGACUCCAUGAAGUCGGAGUCGCUAGUAAUCGCAGAUCAGCAAUGCUGCGGUGAAUACGUUCCCGGGCCU
rnacentral:rRNA from 1 species